GUGCUCCGGAGGCUUCGCCUUGCUUUCGCUGAAGCCUGGAGAGCGAGAGGGGUUGGUGCGCACCAGCCCCUCUCGCUCUCCAGGCUUCAGGGAUAGUCACCUGAAGCCUUCGGAGCGC